ACAGGCCGCAGUAACGAUCGCAGCACUGCUCCACUCCCUAUGAUGGAUCCCACGCGGCUCCAUUACUACCUGACCAGCCACGAUAAACGGCCACGAUCCUGCUCCACCUCCUGCAACGGAUACUGCGCGAUUCUCCCAUCCACUGGAAAGUCACGACGACAAACGUCGCCCCACUUCACGCGGCAGACUCCACGUGGCACGCCCCAGCGAUAGCCAUGGGUCCGUUCCACUACACUUCGCAGCAAACUCCGCCUGACCCUGGGCAGUCCGCUGCCAGACGGUUACAAACGUCGCCAUCAAUCCGUUGCUUCCUCCGCCUAUAAAAGGGGGACCC
rnacentral:lncRNA from 1 species